GCCCUUGACAUCCCGAUCGCGGUUACCAGAGAUGGUUUCCUUCAGUUAGGCUGGAUCGGUGACAGGUGCUGCAUGGCUGUCGUCAGCUCGUGUCGUGAGAUGUUGGGUUAAGUCCCGCAACGAGCGCAACCCUUGUCAUUAGUUGCUACGAAAGGGCACUCUAAUGAGCCUGCCGGCGACAAACCGGAGGAAGGUGGGGAUGACGUCAAGUCCUCAUGGCCCUUAUGGGUAGGCCUUCACACGUCAUACAAUGGUCGGGACAGAGGGUCGCCAACCCGCGAGGGGGAGCCAAUCCCAGAAACCCGAUCGUAGUCCGGAUCGCAGUCUGCAACUCGACUGCGUGAAGUCGGAAUCGCUAGUAAUCGCGGAUCAGCAUGUCGCGGUGAAUACGUUCCCGGGUCUUGUACACACCGCCCGUCACCCCAUGGGAGUGGGUUUUACCAGAAGUAG
rnacentral:rRNA from 1 species